CAGCUGCGAAGGCAGCCAAAUACGGGGCCAGGCCCGGAGUCGGAGUUGGAGGCAUUCCUACUUACGGGGUUGGAGCUGGGGGCUUUCCCGGCUUUGGUGUCGGAGUCGGAGGUAUCCCUGGAGUCGCAGGUGUCCCUAGUGUCGGAGGUGUUCCCGGAGUCGGAGGUGUCCCGGGAGUUGGCAUUUCCCCCGAAGCUCAGGCAGCAGCUGCCGCCAAGGCUGCCAAGUACGGGUUAGUUCCUGGUGUCGGCGUGGCUCCUGGAGUUGGUGUGGCUCCUGGUGUCGGCGUGGCUCCUGGCGUUGGCGUGGCUCCUGGAGUUGGCGUGGCUCCUGGAGUUGGUGUGGCUCCUGGUGUUGGUGUGGCUCCCGGCGUUGGUGUGGCUCCCGGCGUUGGCGUGGCUCCCGGCAUUGGCCCUGGUGGAGUUGCAGGUGAGUUUCAUGAGUCAAUGAGCCUGAGGGGCCCCCGAAGCCUCCAUGGGCCCCGCCUCCAUCUCUAAUCCCCCUCUCUCUCCCUCCCUCAGCUGCAGCAAAAUCCGCUGCCAAGGUGGCUGCCAAAGCCCAGCUCCGAGCUGCAGCUGGGCUUGGUGCUGGCAUCCCUGGACUUGGAGUUGGUGUCGGCGUCCCUGGACUUGGAGUUGGUGCUGGUGUUCCUGGACUUGGAGUUGGUGCUGGUGUGCCUGGCUUCGGGGCAGUACCUGGAGCCCUGGCUGCCGCUAAAGCAGCCAAAUAUGGAGCAGCAGUGCCUGGGGUCCUUGGAGGGCUCGGGGCUCUCGGUGGAGUAGG
rnacentral:lncRNA from 1 species